GACGAACCGUGCGAACGUUGUUCGGAAUCACUGGGCUUAAAGGGCGCGUAGGCGGCCGGGUUGGUCGUGGGUGAAAUCCCCCAGCUUAACUGGGGAACUGCCUACGAUACUGCCUGGCUCGAGGGAGGAAGGGGCGGUCGGAACUGUCGGUGGAGCGGUGAAAUGCGUUGAUAUCGACAGGAACGCCGGUGGCGAAAGCGGCGCGCUGGAUCUCUACUGACGCUGAUGCGCGAAAGCCAGGGGAGCAAACGGG
rnacentral:rRNA from 1 species